CUGUCAGUCAACAGCGAUACGAGGGUGGGACCGGCGACUGCCUGCAGGUGUUCUCCUGUAUACGGUAGUACUUUCCAAGGCUUAGUUCAGAAAGUGGAUCUGCGACAAAAUUCAGCUACGAAGUAGCUGCGGCAGGCAGAUAUAAAAAAACUGGCAAUCAAGAUGGAAAAUAACGUAACAACAAUUUCUCGAGAGGAACUGGAAGAACUAAAAGAAGCAUUCAAUAAAAUAGACAUUGACAAUAGUGGAUAUGUCAGUGAUUAUGAACUUCAAGAUCUUUUCAAAGAAGCAAGUCUUCCAUUACCUGGCUAUAAAGUUCGUGAAAUUGUGGAAAAAAUUAUAGCAGUGACAGAUAGUAACAAGGAUGG